rnacentral:rRNA from 1 species
CGGGGUGAGUAAUGUCUGGGAAACUGCCUGAUGGAGGGGGGUAACUACUGGAAACGGUAGCUAAUACCGCAUAACGUCGCAAGACCAAAGAGGGGGACCUUCGGGCCUCUUGCCAUCGGAUGUGCCCAGAUGGGAUUAGCUAGUAGGUGGGGUAGCGGCUCACCUAGGCGACGAUCCCUAGCUGGUCUGAGAGGAUGACCAGCCACACUGGAACUGAGACACGGUCCAG